GUGGGAUUAGUUCAGUUGGUCUAGAGCGCUGGUUUGUGGCACCAGAUAUCCUGGGUUCGAAUCCCAGAUCCCACCCCA
rnacentral:tRNA from 1 species